rnacentral:rRNA from 1 species
AUUGAACGCUGGCGGCAGGCCUAACACAUGCAAGUCGAACGGUAACAGGAAGAAGCUUGCUUCUUUGCUGACGAGUGGCGGACGGGUGAGUAAUGUCUGGGAAACUGCCUGAUGGAGGGGGAUAACUACUGGAAACGGUAGCUAAUACCGCAUAACGUCGCAAGACCAAAGAGGGGGACCUUCGGGCCUCUUGCCAUCGGAUGUGCCCAGAUGGGAUUAGCUAGUAGGUGGGGUAACGGCUCACCUAGGCGACGAUCCCUAGCUGGUCUGAGAGGAUGACCAGCCACACUGGAACUGAGACACGGUCCAGACUCCUACGGGAGGCAGCAGUGGGGAAUAUUGCACAAUGGGCGCAAGCCUGAUGCAGCCAAGCCGCGUGUAUGAAGAAGGCCUUCGGGUUGUAAAGUACUUUCAGCGGGGAGGAAGGGAGUAAAGUUAAUACCUUUGCUCAUUGACGUUACCCGCAGAAGAAGCACCGGCUAACUCCGUG